rnacentral:rRNA from 1 species
UACGUAGGUGGCAAGCGUUGUCCGGAAUUACUGGGUGUAAAGGGCGUGUAGGCGGGAAAGCAAGUCAGAUGUGAAAUCCCAUGGCUUAACUGUGGAGCUGCAUCUGAAACUGUUUUUCUUGAGUAUCGGAGAGGAAAGUGGAAUUCCAAGUGUAGCGGUGAAAUGCGUAGAGAUUUGGAGGAACACCAGUGGCGAAGGCGGCUUUCUGGACGAUAACUGACGCUGAGGCGAGAAAGCGUGGGGAGCAAACAGG